UACGGGGGGGGCAAGCGUUGUUCGGAAUUACUGGGCGUAAAGGGCUCGUAGGCGGCCAACUAAGUCAGACGUGAAAUCCCCAGGCUCAACCUGGGAACUGCGUCUGAUACUGGAUGGCUUGAAUUCGGGAGAGGGAUGCAGAAUUCCAGGUGUAGCGGUGAAAUGCGUAGAUAUCUGGAGGAAUACCGGUGGCGAAGGCGGCAUCCUGGACCGACAUUGACGCUGAUGAGCGAAAGCUAGGGGAGCAAACGGGAUUAGAAACCCCCGUAGUCC
rnacentral:rRNA from 1 species